rnacentral:rRNA from 1 species
AUUGAACGCUGGCGGCAUGCCUUACACAUGCAAGUCGAACGGCAGCACGGACUUCGGUCUGGUGGCGAGUGGCGAACGGGUGAGUAAUGUAUCGGAACGUACCUUUCAGUGGGGGAUAACGUAGCGAAAGUUACGCUAAUACCGCAUAUUCUGUGAGCAGGAAAGCAGGGGAUCGCAAGACCUUGCGCUGAUUGAGCGGCCGAUAUCAGAUUAGCUAGUUGGUGAGGUAAAGGCUCACCAAGGCGACGAUCUGUAGCGGGUCUGAGAGGAUGAUCCGCCACACUGGAACUGAGACACGGUCCAGACUCCUACGGGAGGCAGCAGUGGGGAAUUUUGGACAAUGGGGGCAACCCUGAUCCAGCCAUGCCGCGUGAGUGAAGAAGGCCUCGGUUGUAAAGCUCUUCGGUCC